rnacentral:rRNA from 1 species
UACGUAGGUGGCAAGCGUUAUCCGGAUUUACUGGGUGUAAAGGGCGUGUAGGCGGGAGAGCAAGUCAGACGUGAAAUUCCAGGGCUCAACCCUGGAACUGCGUUUGAAACUGUUCUUCUUGAGUGAUGGAGAGGCAGGCGGAAUUCCGUGUGUAGCGGUGAAAUGCGUAGAUAUACGGAGGAACACCAGUGGCGAAGGCGGCCUGCAGGACAUUAACUGACGUUGAGGCUCGAAAGCGUGGGGAGCAAACAGG